GAUGAACGCUGGCGGCGUGCCUAAUACAUGCAAGUCGAGCGAAUGGAUUAAGAGCUUGCUCUUAUGAAGUUAGCGGCGGACGGGUGAGUAACACGUGGGUAACCUGCCCAUAAGACUGGGAUAACUCCGGGAAACCGGGGCUAAUACCGGAUAACAUUUUGAACCGCAUGGUUCGAAAUUGAAAGGCGGCUUCGGCUGUCACUUAUGGAUGGACUCGCGUCGCAUUAGCGAGUUGGGGAGGUAACGGCUCACCAAGGGAACGAUGCGUAGCCGACCUGAGAGGGUGAUCGGCCACACUGGGACUGAGACACGGCCCAGACUCCUACGGGAGGCAGCAGUAGGGAAUCUUCCGCAAUGGAGGAAAGUCUGACGGAGCAACGCCGCGUGAGUGAUGAAGGCUUUCGGGUCGUAAAACUCUGUUGUUAGGGAAGAACAAGUGCUAGUUGAAUAAGCUGGCACCUUGACGGUACCUAACCAGAAAGCCACGGCUAACUACGUGCCAGCCGCCGCGGUAA
rnacentral:rRNA from 1 species